AUACCCGCUUUAUUCAUUGAUUCAUUCAAUUUUUGUUCAUCGUUUUCUCUAGAUCUCUCUUCUAUAUAGUCCUCUCGGAGGUUUUCCGAUGAAGAUCGUCACUGAUCUCCUUCCGAUCUACAGAUCGGCGUCUUAUACGAAGAGAUCCAGAGGCUCCGGUUGAUUCCUCGUCAGAAGACGGAUCGUCGCGGUUGAGCUCCGAAGAUCGGUUGAAGAUCUGAUCUGAUCUUAGAUCAUGAACCGGCCUCGAGGUUCGUCAGAUCUGCGUUACUGAGCUUUUGAUGAGGUGAUGAAUGAUGAAUCCGUCAAUUCUCUAUGGAGCUAGAGAGAUGAGAGGGUGAAGAAGAGAGAAGAAGCUGAUAUGUGAUAUUGAUGUGAGUUAAGUUGAUUGAUGGAUGUAUGAGAUGUUUAUAGGGACGAUAUAGUUCUGCGUAAACAUCUUUGUCAUCCGACCUUUGCCAUGACAGGUGCGCUUGCAUGGCAGGUCACCAAAAUCCUUAAUAAAAAAAAAAAGUUUCGUGUUGUCGAGGGGAGUUCGCACGGGGGAUUUUUUUUGCCCGGGUUCUCCCCUCUUGCGUGUGUGUCUUGCUUCUCGCUCUUCGUACACACUACCUUUGAUCUCGAUUCAUUCACGUAAAUUCUCUCAAUACCACAGAAAUAUUCUCGAUCCGGAUCUUAAGAUCAGCGGAUCUGGAGACAAGCUGGCCAAAUCUUAAUCCAACAUCCUCCAACCAAGGUACCUUCAAUUUUGAGUUUAAAUUCUCCGUUAUUCUCUUUAUUUGCAUCAUAUAACAAACCUGACACCAAAUAUUUAUUACAAUCUCGAAUCGGCCUUUAUUUUUGAGCAUGGAAAUAGUUGCCUCAUUUUCAAAUUGACUGUUAUAAUACAUUAUUCACAAAGUACUUCUACCAAAGUAUUCGUAGGACCUUAAAUUGUCUAAUCGAACGGUUCCAUGGCAGUUUGUUAUAUUCUCCACUUUAUCUAUCUACUGUUGUUUGAUGUUUGUACUUUUUCUGUAAGAAUUCUCAUUGGAAGAAAUUGUACCCAGUUUUAUGAUUACGUAAAGAAAUAUCAGUAGUGAAUAUUCUGACCUAUUCUAGAAAAUAGCGCUGUAGUAUUUAGUCUCUCGUAUGGGUUUUACGAUUUGGAUUUAUCACGGCUGCAUUCAUUAGCAAGAGCUAUGGCUAGAGUAGCUAGCUCCUGGAGAAGUAAUACGAGUAUCGAAGGUCUCUGAUUUUUGAUAUGAUGGCGUUUGGACUCGAUUCGAGCCUGCAGUUUCGAUUGAUAUAUACUCUGUUGUUGUAUCAUUUCGUACAGUAGUUUUUUUUAGACUUUUGCAUUCUGAUGGGAUCUUUCAAAUUUAAUAAGUCAGUUUCAGUUUAUGCAUUGAUCAUUGUUUGAUAUCAUACAACUCUGUGGUGUUACUACUUCAAAUUAGUUCUAUUUGAUGAUUUUAUAUAUAAAUUUCAAGUUUGAUUUAUAUCUAAUUUGGUUUUAUUAAACUCUUGCAACCGUGGGCUUUCCGUCUUCAGGAUGCUUCAAGUGGGGUGGAAUAUUGGAGCGACCAUAUUAGAAAUGAUUCUCGGUAGCCCAUGGAGUUGAUCCAAAUAGGCAAGGUUUGUGCUAAUAGAUCUGUAAGCUCAAAAUGGUAGAGCUCUCAUUAUGAGAGGUUGGUGGUUCGAAUCCAUCCAGAUCUGUCGACUUUCUAUCCUCUUUUACCUUUAUCAUGUCAUUGUAUAACACAAUAUUUCAAAUCUAUGUGUGUUGAAUAUGAUCUGCCGAUGUUAUUGCUAAAACCAGGGCAGCCGUAAAAGGGCCUCUGUAAAAUUUAGCAUCUGCCACGGAGGAAGGUGGAAUUGAUCAUUUUUAAAGCAACGGCGUCUAAACAUGGACUGACAUCCUAAGUCCUAACUAGUUGUGUUAUUUGGACUACAAGCAAUAAGCAAGGAGCAUAAUUCACUUAACAGUAAUAAAAAAACAUACUAAUGAAAGAUGACUGCAAAACUCUGUUAAUCAUUGUUGGGUUAUGAUAUUUAUCAAGGCUAACUCAUUCACCAUCUCUAUGUAUUCGUCAUUUCUUAGUUGAUAAAGAAUAUUUUUAUAA
rnacentral:sRNA from 1 species